CAAUAGCGUAUAUUAAAGUUGUUGCGGUUAAAAAGUUCGUAGUUGGAUUUCUGCCAAGGACGACCGGUCCGCCCUCUGGGUGAGUAUCUGGCUUGGCCUGGGCAUCUUCUUGGAGAACGUUGCUGCACUUCACUGUGUGGCGCGGUACCCAGGACCUUUACUUUGAGGAAAUUAGAGUGUUUCAAGCAGGCUUUCGCCUUGAAUACAUUAGCAUGGAAUAAUAAGAUAGGACCUCGGUUCUAUUUUGUUGGUUUCUAGAGCUGGGGUAAUGAUUAAUAGGGAUAGUUGGGGGCAUUCGUAUUUAACUGUCAGAGGUGAAAUUCUUGGAUUGCGUUACGACGAACUACUGCGAANGNAUUUGGNAAGGAUGUUUNCAUUG
rnacentral:rRNA from 1 species